GAAAUAUUUGGUUCUGGUAUAAUGUCAGCCUAGAGUUACCUAAAAUACACAAUGUAGAAGAUAUUCGUAAUGUGCUAAGCAAAUAAAAGUGAUAAGCUGUGACUUAUUCCUAAAAGGAAGUAAAGCAGUAAUGGCAUAAGUUUUUAAUGAUGACGCUAAGAUAAUCACAACUCAAGUGGGUAGUCCUGGAUUCAAUGAGUUUGCGCUCGAAACGAACGGAAAACUAAUAAAUGUAAGCUAAUGGGGGUGCCAGCAGCUGCGGUCAGUCCCCUUUAAACAGGCUGAUAGAGGUGUAGCCUAGAGGCGGUUAAUCAACUUAAACUAGUAAGACAUACGCCAAAGUUAUGGAGGUGAAAUUCCGCAAAAAUUGGAGGAGGCCCAAAGCUUGCAUAAAGAUGAACCCGCAAAGUUAUGGGUAUAGACCCGGAUUAGAUACCCGGUUAUUCCAUAAUGUCACGUACGGUUACUUCAUAUGAAAGUAAUUUGCUAGGAGUACUACGAGCAACUGCUUAAAACUCGAAGAACUUGGCGGUUCCACAAAACCAUCCAGAGGCUCUUGGCGCUUAAUCCGAUGAUCCGCGUGAUAUCUUACCCGCUCUAUAUGGCAAUGUACUGCCGUCGAAAGCUUAUAACGUAAGUGAAUAAUAAUAGGCUUUGCCUUAAGUUUGAAGUUAUUUCACUCGUUAAGACUAGGUCAGGUCGAAGUGUUCCUUAUGAGUGAGGGGUUAGCUGAGAGACAAUUUUUAAGGUAUAACAAGCUUUGGAAUGAAAAUUUUUAAAGCAAGGAGGAUUUGGGAGUAAAAGAAAAGUAACUUGCUUUUUUGAAUAGAUGCAACUGUGGUGCGUACAAAUCGCCCGUCACCCUAGCCGAAAGGAGAGGUAAGUCGUAACAUGGUAAGGGUAGGGGAACCUGCUCUUAUGAUAUU
rnacentral:rRNA from 1 species